ACAUUAUGAUUUGGGCAUUGAGCCAUCUUACCAUUAAACCUCUCCCAAGAUUCAAACAAUGACUCUCCAUUCAUUUGUCAAAAAUUCACAAUAUCGUCCCUCUUUU
rnacentral:snoRNA from 1 species